rnacentral:rRNA from 1 species
UACGGGGGGUGCAAGCGUUGUCCGGAAUCACUGGGCGUAAAGGGCGCGUAGGUGGCGUCGUAAGUCUGUGGUGAAAGCCCGGAGCUCAACUCCGGGUCUGCCGCGGAUACUGCGAGGCUUGAGUGCUGUAGAGGGGGGUAGAAUGCCGGGUGUAGCGGUGGAAUGCGCAGAUAUCAGGAGGAACACCAAUGGCGAAGGCAGAUCUCUGGGCCGUAACUGACGCUGAGGAGCGAAAGCAUGGGGAGCGAACAGG